ACGCUCGACACCUACGGGAGGAGCAGUGGGGAAUAUUGCACAAUGGGGAAACCCGUGAUGCAGCGACGCCGCGUGAGCGAAGAAGUAUUUCGGUAUGUAAAGCUCUAUCAGCAGGGAAGAAACUGACGGUACCUGACUAAGAAGCACCGGCUAAAUACGUGCUAGCAGCCGCGGUAAUCUGAGCGGGCUGGCAAGGC
rnacentral:rRNA from 1 species